CGCUCGACAUCAGAGUUUGAUCCUGGCUCAGGAUGAACGCUAGCGAAAUGCCUAACACAUGCAAGUCGAACGGAUCUUGCACUGUACUUGUACAGAGUAAGAUUAGUGGCAAACGAGCGAGUAACGCGUGCUUAACCUGCCCCGAAGAUGGGUAUAACUGCAGAGAUGUAGCUAAUCCCCAAUAUGCUCACGAUGGUGAAAUUCCAAUGUGAGGAAAGAUUUAUCGCUUCGGGAGGGGGGUGCGUCCUAUCAGGUAGUUGGUAAGGUAACAGCUUACCAAGCCUAUGACGGGUAACCGGUCUGAGAUGAUGUCCGGUCGCGAUGGGACUGAGAUACGGCCCAU
rnacentral:rRNA from 1 species